rnacentral:rRNA from 1 species
AUUGAACGCUGGCGGCAGGCCUAACACAUGCAAGUCGAACGGUAACAGGAAGCAGCUUGCUGCUUUGCUGACGAGUGGCGGACGGGUGAGUAAUGUCUGGGAAACUGCCCGAUGGAGGGGGAUAACUACUGGAAACGGUAGCUAAUACCGCAUAACGUCGCAAGACCAAAGAGGGGGACCUUCGGGCCUCUUGCCAUCGGAUGUGCCCAGAUGGGAUUGGCUAGUAGGUGGGGUAACGGCUCACCUAGGCGACGAUCCCUAGCUGGUCUGAGAGGAUGACCAGCCACACUGGAACUGAGACACGGUCCAGACUCCUACGGGAGGCAGCAGUGGGGAAUAUUGCACAAUGGGCGCAAGCCUGAUGCAGCCAUGCCGCGUGUAUGAAGAAGGCCUUCGGGUUGUAAAGUACUUU